ACCGCUUAGUGUUUGUCCUUUCUUAUUUUAUUUCACGUUUCCGAUUUGUUGCUGUUCUUAUUAUUUUUCUAUACGUCAUGUACGUCCCGUGGGGGCAAAGAGGUGCAGGGGUGAGAUAUCAGUUGUCAGUAGUGAAAUUGAAUGGUCAACGCAUACAUCGACUGACUGAUAACAGUAAUAAUAAUUAUUCUUAGUAUGAAUAUUCGUUUAUCAUUGUCAAGGAAGCUAGAAAGUUAUGUGAUUCAUAAAUUGAGUUGGAUCAUUGGAAUGAUCAGUCGAGCCUGCGAUUUGAACUUUGACAACAAGAAUUAUUAUAAUAGCAUUAUUAAUAAUUUGUGUUGCUAAUUAUCGUCGUGAUAAUUUCCUUUGCUGAAUAUUUAAAGAAUUACUGAAUUUCUUUUUUUCGACUAAACAGCGCCCUCAUUAUAUAAUCAGAUAGCAUUUAGUUGUUUUUCGUUUAUCAAGUCAUGGUUUAUAUUUUUAGUGAAAAUAAUACUAUUUGGCUAGUUGACAUAAUAAUAGCAGUUCAGUAAUUGAUAUAUGGAUGUGUAUGAAUACAUGUAUGCAUGUAAUUUUUCUUUUUGUUCAUUGAUUUUGCGUUACUUAUUGUUGCUAGAACCUAUGGUACCAUUCUCUUGUUGGCAUUUAUUGUCUGAUUGUGAUUAUUGUUUUCGUUUUUUUUUUUACUAGCCCGCCGCCUGAGCACAGAAUAACGACAGUGAAAACACCACCACCACCGUCACUGCAAGGCUGCCGUUGGGGUGUUCCGGAUUUGCUGUGUUUCGAUCCUGUAAUCGUCGAGCUAUGGUAACCUGUGUAUGUCGCGUCGCCUUUACUUGCCCACCCAAAGUCUUGGUGCAACAGGACUUCUUCGUUUCGCUAAAGUAGAAUACUUGAUUCUGGUGGCAACUCUCAUCACAUACUCGCCGUAAUUAAAGAAGAGCAGUGUUACGUGUACUUAGACACGGCGUCCGAUCUCGCCUCUCCCGGCAGCACGUGGAACAGCACUGAGAUGAGCAGGCGGCGAAUUGCUG
rnacentral:lncRNA from 1 species